CCUACGGGAGGCUGCAGUGGGGAAUAUUGCACAAUGGGGGAAACCCUGAUGCAGCGACGCCGCGUGAGUGAAGAAGGAAUUCGUUAUGUAAAGCUCUAUCAGCAGGGAAGAAAGAGACGGUACCUGAGUACGUAGCACUGGCUAACUACGUGCCAGCAGCCGCGGUAAUACGUAGGGGGCAAGCGUUAGCCGGAUUUACUGGGUGUAAAGGGUGCGUAGACGGCAGUGCAAGUCUGGAGUGAAAGGCGGGGGCUCAACCCCCGGACUGCUCUGGAAACUGUACGGCUGGAGUGCAGGAGAGGUGAGUGGAAUUCCUAGUGUAGCGGUGAAAUGCGUAGAUAUUAGGAGGAACACCGGUGGCGAAGGCGGCUUACUGGACUGUAACUGACGUUGAGGCUCGAAAGCGUGGGGAGCAAACAGGAUUAGAUACCCCUGUAGUC
rnacentral:rRNA from 1 species